GAAGCUGGAAUCGCUAGUAAUCGCGGAUCAGCAUGCCGCGGUGAAUACGUUCCCGGGCCUUGUACACACCGCCCGUCACACCACGAGAGUUUGUAACACCCGAAGUCGGUGGGGUAACCUUUUUGGAGCCAGCCGCCUAAGGUGGGACAGAUGAUUGGGGUGAAGUCGUAACAAGGUAGCCGUAUCGGAAGGUGCGGCUGGAUCACCUCCUUU
rnacentral:rRNA from 1 species